AUUGAACGCUGGCGGAAUGCUUUACACAUGCAAGUCGAGCGGCAGCGCGGGGCAACCUGGCGGCGAGCGGCGAACGGGUGAGUAAUGUAUCGGAACGUGUCCUGUCGUGGGGGAUAGCCCGGUGAAAACCGGAUUAAUACCGCAUACGAUCGAGAGAUGAAAGUGGGGGUCCGCAAGGCCUCACGCGAUAGGAGCGGCCGAUAUCUGAUUAGCUAGUUGGUGGGGUAAAGGCCCACCAAGGCUUCGAUCAGUAGCUGGUCUGAGAGGAUGAUCAGCCACACUGGGACUGAGACACGGCCCAGACUCCUACGGGAGGCAGCAGUGGGGAAUUUUGGACAAUGGGGGCAACGCUGAUCCAGCCAUUCCGCGUGAGUGAAGAAGGCCUUCGGGUUGUAAAGCUCUUUUGUCCGGGAAGAAACGGUUUUGGCUAAUAACCAAGACUACUGACGGUACCGGAAGAAUAAGGACCGGCUAACUACGUGCCAGCAGCCGCCGUAA
rnacentral:rRNA from 1 species